rnacentral:lncRNA from 1 species
UAGAGAGUAGUAGAUAGUAGGUAUUGUAACCUUGAUAGGACAGAUCUAUCGAUAUUCUAUGCUUGAAUAGUAAUGGAAAAGCUUGGAGUAAAGGAAGAUUCCGAUAAAGGAGUGAGUUAAGAUAGCCAUAGCUAUAGUCAAAGUGGAUAGAUGCCUAUAAAACCACUAGGAGAAGUAAGAGUAUCGGAUGAUGGAUCCGGAAACUUCCAAUUCUAUAAGCUGGGGAAGAGCCCUAACUAGGAGGCUUCUAGCUUACCAUCUAUAGUAGGCCUCGAAACGAUGGAUCCGGAAACUUCCAAUUCUAUAAGAAGUGGAUAGAUGCCUAUAAAACCACUAGGAGAAGUAAGAGUAUCGGAUGAUGGAUCCGGAAACUUCCAAUUCUAUAAGCUGGGGAAGAGCCCUAACUAGGAGGCUUCUAGCUUACCAUCUAUAGUAGGCCUCGAAACCUUUCCAUAUUCUUCAUUCUUCUACUCCAGGUGAAAUACCAUCAUAAAGGGGAGCCUGAAGUAGGAGUCCCGGAAGAGGAAUCAACAACGGAAGGUGAAACCGGCUGAUGGAAGGCAAUGAAAUAGGUGCAGAAAGCAGGCCAUCUGAAGGAGGAGUACCAGUGGAUAGAG